rnacentral:lncRNA from 1 species
CAAGAUUCGGCUAUGAGAAGUUCCUGAGCAUGGCGGCAUGGGCAUCGUGGCGUGGGAGCGCCGAUGGACUGGGCCGCUCGAAAGGAAGAGGUCCUUCCUGGCCCACCUAAUCGGUGUCGUUCAAAGACUUCAGAAGUUCAGCGGUGCGGAACUGCGGAGGCUGACAGCUGAGGCGGAGGAACCGUAACCACGCCGCCACCGCCCUUCUUCCGUAGUAUCGCUAGACGGACCCUUGACGCCUCGCGCCGCCACAGUUCGGCACCCGUGUCCCAUGGCCGCCGUCUUCGCCAGAUGAAUAUCUGUGCCAACAUUGGAGAAACUGUUCCUCUGCUCAACAAAUCUGAACAGCACAGGAUGAAACGGUGCGUACCAGGGCUGGCAAGCCGGAGGUACAGCUUCUCGCCAUAGUUGAUGCUUUUCCAGGUGUCGACAAGCUCCCCGGUCCAAACCAAGCACCUUGACUGGUCUUCCAUGGCACCGCUGCUGCUCAAGUUGGCGUAAGCAUAGGCGGUGCAGGAGCAGUUCUUGCUGCACUCAGCCGCGCACUGCUCAAAGCUUCUGUUCCGGAGGAGCACGAACUUGUCAGGAACUCUCAUCCCGGGCAAGGCCACGAAGUGACUUGCCUUGCUGCACUGCAGAGGCUCCGUUCUCCGGCAUCCUUCUGAAGAGUUGAGAUCGGCGGCGACGGGCUCGAAGCCCUCGAGGCACUGGCACGCCGGGGCAGCCCCGGUGAAGUCGCAGUAGGCGUUGGGGCCACAGGAGCCAUAGAGGCCGUAGCCACCGGUGGGGCGCUCGGAGAUGAGCGUCCAGGACGACGAGUUGGUGUCCCAGCUCAGGAGCUUCAUCGUGCCGGUGUGGUCGAGCAUGAUACGGAAGUACGGCGAGCCGUCGGAGACGGUGUACGUGAGGUAGAACUCGUCGCCGGUGUUGACGAUGGUCUGGUACACGAUGGAGCUAGGUGAGCCGGUGUACAUGCCGCCUGACACCGACACGCCGUUCCACACGCUGAUGCGGCAGUACGGCUCGGCCCCGUGCCAGACCAUCAGCUGGAGGUUGGAGACGGGGUCGAGGCCGAACGAGAAGGCUCCGGUGGACGGGUCGGCGGGGCCUCUCCAAGAGACCAGGCGCGCGGCGGGGCGAGCCCCGUGGAUCAUCAGGAACCGCAUGCCUGGGAGAAUGGUGUCAGUCGGGUGGUCGAAGCUCUGCCAUAUGACCGUACCGUUGGGCAGCUGGAGUUGCAGGUUGCCCGUGUCGAGCAGCACGGCCAGGGGAGUGCCGCUGUCGUGGACGGCCGCGGCGGCGGCGUUCUGCGUCCUCCAGAGAGUGCGGCCCUGGGAGUCCGAAAGCACGAGGUCAAAGCUGUUGCUGAUGGCGAGCGUCGGGGACGACGAUGUGGUGGCUGGGCUGUCGCGGUUGGCGACCCACACGACGGUGCGGCUGCGCUCGGGGAUGCCGUGGAACCAGAUCGCAACGUACAGGCUCGUGCUGGUGUUGGAGCCGGACGGGGAGAAGAAACCGAGGGCAAAGACGCCGCCUUUGGAGAUGAGCAGGUCGCCGGGUGAAAGUGGCCUUGCGCUUGCCAGCUGGUCAUCGGAUUUGCAGACACGGAUCAUCAGGAGGAGCAGGAGGAUGGAAAUGGUAAGGCUGGUCAUAUCCAUUCUAUGGUUAUGCUCAUCACUGACGAGUAUAGAUCAGGGACCACGAAAAUGGCACCAAGAUAUAGAUCAGAGAUUGUACACAUGGACAAGGUGGAGUCGUAAGUUCACCGGGUGUAGUCUGACAAAUUUGAUGAAAAUGCAAAACGUCAAUGCCGUGUAAUGGUCUAAAAUAUUUAACAAUACAUUAUGAACAAUGCCCGGUGUUUCAU